CGCUUUCGGGCGGGGAUUAGUGGCGAACGGGUGAGUAACACGUGGGCAAUCUGCCCUGCACUCUGGGACAAGCCCUGGAAACGGGGUCUAAUACCGGAUAUGACUGUCCGUCGCAUGGUGGAUGGUGUAAAGCUCCGGCGGUGCAGGAUGAGCCCGCGGCCUAUCAGCUUGUUGGUGAGGUAGUGGCUCACCAAGGCGACGACGGGUAGCCGGCCUGAGAGGGCGACCGGCCACACUGGGACUGAGACACGGCCCAGACUCCUACGGGAGGCAGCAGUGGGGAAUAUUGCACAAUGGGCGAAAGCCUGAUGCAGCGACGCCGCGUGAGGGAUGACGGCCUUCGGGUUGUAAACCUCUUUCAGCAGGGAAGAAGCGAAAGUGACGGUACCUGCAGAAGAAGCGCCGGCUAACUACGUGCCAGCAGCCGCGGUAAUACGUAGGGCGCAAGCGUUGUCCGGGAAUUAUUGGGCGUAAAGAGCUCGUAGGCGGCUUGUCACGUCGGUUGUGAAAGCCCGGGGCUUAACCCCGGGUCUGCAGUCGAUACGGGCAGGCUAGAGUUCGGUAGGGGAGAUCGGAAUUCCUGGUGUAGCGGUGAAAUGCGCAGAUAUCAGGAGGAACACCGGUGGCGAAGGCGGAUCUCUGGGCCGAUACUGACGCUGAGGAGCGAAAGCGUGGGGAGCGAACAGGAUUAGAUACCCUGGUAGUCCACGCCGUAAACGGUGGGCACUAGGUGUGGGCAACAUUCCACGUUGUCCGUGCCGCAGCUAACGCAUUAAGUGCCCCGCCUGGGGAGUACGGCCGCAAGGCUAAAACUCAAAGGAAUUGACGGGGGCCCGCACAAGCGGCGGAGCAUGUGGCUUAAUUCGACGCAACGCGAAGAACCUUACCAAGGCUUGACAUACACCGGAAACGUCUGGAGACAGGCGCCCCCUUGUGGUCGGUGUACAGGUGGUGCAUGGCUGUCGUCAGCCUCGUGUCGUGAGAAUGUUGGGUAAAGUCCCGCAACGAGCGCAACCCUUGUCCCGUGUUGCCAGCAGGCCCUUGUGGUGCUGGGGACUCACGGGAGACCGCCGGGGUCAACUCGGAGGAAGGUGGGGACGACGUCAAGUCAUCAUGCCCCUUAUGUCUUGGGCUGCACACGUGCUACAAUGGCCGGUACAAUGAGCUGCGAUACCGCGAGGUGGAGCGAAUCUCAAAAAGCCGGUCUCAGUUCGGAUUGGGGUCUGCAACUCGACCCCAUGAAGUCGGAGUCGCUAGUAAUCGCAGAUCAGCAUUGCUGCGGUGAAUACGUUCCCGGGCCUUGUACACACCGCCCGUCACGUCACGAAAGUCGGUAACACCCGAAGCCGGUGGCCCAAC
rnacentral:rRNA from 1 species